UGCAAGGGCACUCUGUGUUAACCUAAAUCAGUAGGAUAAUAACAAUUUGUAACCUUGCUAAAAUAAAUCUAUCAAAACCUAUUCCGGAUAGCUUGGACUCGCUAUUUGGUCAUAGUGGUAGAUACAAU
rfam:Operophtera brumata OBRT01_Sc03513, whole genome shotgun sequence.